GGGUAACUUCAAGCGCUGCUGGUCCUUGCGACACCAAGCUAUUACAUUUCCAUCACUAUUUGCUGUGAACAAGUGAUGACCAUCACAGGAAAAGGUAAGGCUUACAAUAGGUUUGGCUGACUUCGAAAAUGUUAUUUCUCGUACUGGCUUCAAGUCCCAUGUACUCCACAGUCUUACAACUCCAUUUUCGAGCCCUCCUGCAAUCACGUUGACAGAUACUCCUUCAGGCUGGUUAGAGAAAGCAACAGAGCAAAUACUCUCU
rnacentral:lncRNA from 1 species